rnacentral:lncRNA from 1 species
GUAAGGUAAAGUCUGCUCCUCGCAACUAUCCUACAUCUUUCCUUUACCCUUGUCCUUUCUUGAGGUUUCGGGCUUAACUGCAAUAUAAUUCAUGAUAUAGCAAGAAUGAGCAACAAGUUUGCUCAGCAAGUUUAAAUACAACAAUAAGGAUAUAUCAUGAUGAAUGGAAAAUAUCUGACAAUGAAUUCAACAAUAUGAAUAUCUGAAGGAUUCAACAAUAUGAAUAUUAGAAGCAAGAUAAUGAUUUCUUUUAGAAUAACUGAUAGUCAAGUAGACUUUGAACUAUACAAACUCUAAUAGAAUCAAUAGUUGAUUGACCCUUUGGUUACUGGCUACAGAAUAAGUACUUGAGGGGAUCAGCCUCGCAUACACCAUGUAUAUGCGUAACAUUUAAAUAUGCUCUUUGUAUCUUAUAUUAGAUACCUGGGGUACUCCCCUAUCAUAAAAGGGGUGUUCUUUCAGUCUAAGAAUCUUUACCAUCAAUUGGUUUGGAUAGCUUUUACAAAACUUCAUACACUUGUCUGACUGAACAAAGGUUCAAACUCUAUCUGACACAAUUCAAGAAUUAUAGAACUUUAAAUGAUGUACAAGUCCAAGACUGUACGAACUCAAGUGCACUAAGUGUGAAUAUCAAUAAUAUCGAUGUGGAAUAAUUGUAAAGUAAUUAAAACCACUUAAUAGCAUGCUUGGAAGUAAAGUUCAAGCUUAAAUGAAUAACUUUCAAUUCAACAAUAACCUGCUCAAUACAACAUGAGGAGGAUAGGAAACUUUCACAAAAUUCAAAGUUGUGUAAAUUAGGAAACUUGCUUCAAGCGUAGUUUACCAAAGUAAAGCUUAAUAUCAAUCAAAUGCACUAUGAUAUCCUAUUCAUGUAUAAUCACAUUAGUUAUACAAGUUCAACAUGUACACCUAUUAUCUUAACUUACUAUCAUACACAAGUGUACUUUAUCAAUACUAACAUAUAUUGCUCGCCUUCUAGUCGCAUAAUCUUAUACGAAUGUCAUCACAUGCAAAUUAGUUUCUAACACACUAUGUCAUAGUUGAAAUCACAAUUUGACUUUAAAGUUGUAAACACUAGUUUGUCAUAGGUUCCUUUCAAUAACAUGCUUAUUAACACAUGAAUACCAUACUGGACAUGUAUUACAGAUUAGAGUAACCAUAUAAGCAUGCAUCAGCUCUCAAUUUAUUAACAGAGCUCAGACCCUACUGCAGACUGGCGUGGCCGCGUUUGGUUUGUAUUGAGGAGUGGCGUGGCCGCACUGCUCCUGGUGCAAACCAAGACAUGGUUGCUCUUGCAGAAAACUAGUGUACACACGACUUGCACAAAUACGAAUAAUCAUGCAAAACACACAUGUUAGUAUGUGGAUAACCAAGUUUGACCCCAUAUCAUAACAUUAACAUAGGUCACCAUCUAUUCUCAUUUAGUCAAGACUUUAAGUGUUCAUUUCAUAAUAUUUUUACAUUUAAACGUCAAACACAUGCUAUGUGGUUCAUAGGUCUCUACUUCACAUGCCUGCAUUUGUUAAAUCAAGUAUCUCAAGUUAUGAAGUUCUACUUUAUUUAUGCUUACUCUCAACCACACUUAACUAGUUUCACAAUGCAUAUAACUCACUAGGCCUUCAUAUCAAUUACAUUUACAUGCAUGACACACCUAAUCGUGACGUCUCACGUACAAGUUAAACCUUAUAAGCAUGUUCACAAAUCUUACUCAAAGCGUAUAUAGAGUUUGUUUUCAAAACUUUAAGUUUUCAUUAGUAAAAUUUAUUCAAGCAUGCAAGGUAAGUUCACAUAUUCCAUAACAUGCUUCCAUAACCACAUAAUAGGUUACAUGGGCAUGUUUAUGAAGUUUAAAACUUAGUUUAUGCAUAAUUUAUGUACACAUAGCUAAUAUAGUCUUUUACUUGCAUUUUUCUUUUAAUUCAUGCUUGACUACAACAUACCCUCCUCAACAAUGUAAACUAACAUAUUGGUCACAUUUUAAUGUAUAUCAGAACUUGAUACAUUCACAACCAAGGUCAGAACAUGUUUUUGAAAAAGGUUUAUCAAAACUAGUUUCCAACUCUUUAAGUCCUCUUUGAAUAAUCAAACUAAAACAACUAUCAUGACUCACUAUAUCCAUAGCAUCUUCAUUCCAUGUGCUAAGGUUGCUUAUAAGCACAUACUAACCAAAGUAGCAUACUCAUAAUGGAACAAGAGAUUACAAAAAUUAGUACACAUGACUGGCAGCCGACGCGGCCGCGUGAUCAUCUACUAUAGAAGUGGCGCGGCCGCGCCACUUCGAGCAUCAUGAAAAAUAAUGGCUCUGCAUUUGCAGAGCCUCAACACAAACCAUGCUAAAUCUGCAACCAAACCAACUACAAUGCUUCUAAGCAUGCAAACAACUUCAGACAACACAAUGACAUACUAUUCUACAUCAAUUAACAGAGAAUUUCAUGAGAAUUGCAAGAAUUUAACAAAACUUAGACUAAGAACAAAAUAGAAAUUAUACCUCCUUGAACCUUAACUAGAUUCCUCAAAACACUAAUUACACUCUCUCAAUGCUCAGCCACGCUCACUCUCUUUCUACACUUAUCAGACAAAUUCUUUAGCAACUGAGAAAUGAAGAAGAAGGGGCUAUAUAUAGAGAACUCAUUGUCCAGACAUUGCUCUUACACCAUGGUUUGAUUCAAUGGAGAUUGAGAAGAAAUGUUGGGUAUAGAAGGGUUGGUCAACUGCCAAUUCCUAGCCAUCAUCACUGCUAAUGCUAUGAAGCUGGAGUUUUACGCAAUGAAGAUGGUAGGCUACUGUUUGGUUACUGUUUGGGACUCUUAAUAUGGGACACAGACUUUUAAAUCCCAGCAACGUGUUUAUAAUGCUUACUUUGUUCUCUUAUAUCCCCAAAAUAUAAUUUUAAUGUGUUAAUGCUACUACACAAUGAAAAGUUAGGGAUUAUUUAUGUACUCACAUGAAUGCAAUAACUCUUACUAUAUAGUCUAUAAUAUAUAGACAUAUUAGUGUGUCACCUUGUACUAUAUAAGAUAUAUAGUUAACUACCAUAUAAUAAAGGUUUUACUAUAUUGCAUGCUUGCACAAAUUAAUCAAGUAAAUAUAAUCAUAUUAUAUUUAUUAAUCUCUUACUCAUUAAUUAUUAUUUAUUCAUAAUAAUUAUAAAUCAACACAUUAUCAAUUUAAUUACCCAUAAUUACAAUUAAUCAAUAUGUUUAAAUCCUGCCACUAUAUUCAAAUAAAUUGAAUAUUUAAUUAUUAAUAAUUCUAUCAAUUCUUUGAUAUUAAAGUCUUAGGGUUAGUCCACUAAUUUAAAUAAACUAUUAGUGACUCCCUUUAAUCAUUUCAUAAAUUCACAUAACCACAUAAGGUUUAAAUAGACUCAUAAAAUUAACUCAUUAAAAAUUAAAUCACAUAUUUAUUUAAUAAGGAGUUUAAAAUUCACGGUCAUUAUAGUGAGGUAGACACAUAUCAGGGUGGACUUUAGAAAGCAAUGCAGAUUUUUUACGUUUAGAAGAUGAAGUGGUUUCCAUAUUGAUAACAGAGGUACAAAGUAUGUAAUAUGAGAGUGAAACUGAGAUGAAAUUGCAGAGUAAGACUCAGAUAAUAGAAUAGAGAGAUAAAGUAAGAGUUUGAGGUGAGUGAAGUCUGAUGCAGUGUUCUGAAUUUAUACACGAAGCAUUAGUCAAGUAGAAAAGUUCAAUAUUUAAUGUAUUUUCAUGAAAAGAGAAUGAUUGUCUAAGAUACAUACAUAGUAAGGGCAGAAAGAUUUUCAGUAAAUGCAAGAUUUGAUUUUCAAGAAACUAAGACAUACUUUGAACUGUAGAUUAUUUUUCAAAGAUAUCAGAGUAUUUAAGAAAAAUAUUGAUUCUAGGUAGAAGAUGGAAAUCAAUCAUAGCAUUACCAUUGACCAAACCAUAAACUUUAUUUUUAAACCUUAGUUCAGUUUCAAAAAUAAAGAGAAAAUGUUCAGUAUGAACUAAACAGACAACCAACAGCUGACAACAGAGUUUAACACAUACACACAAAUAUGCAUUCAUCAAGUAUUUAUAUCCAUCACCGAAUAUACAUGAAAAGAAAUCAAGUAUCUCAACAGUGCAUACCAUUAAUUCGAGAAAAAUAGAAUAGAAGAGAUGAAUAUAGUCACAAAAAUCUGACAGUAAGAAACUUAGACAUAUAAAUGUAUAGAUUUUACCUUAGCAGUUGUUUAACACUCUUCAAAGAAAUAUAGGAAAUGCAUGCACAACUACUCUUUAGCUUUUCUUCAAUAAACUCAUCAUGCAGAGUACUAUAUAUAUAUAUAUAUAUAUAUAUAUAUAUAUAUAUAUAUAUAUGUAUUUAUAUGUGUGUGUGUAUACAGUCUGUUUCUGGUGCAUACCCCUUUAUUUUACAUACCUUGUUCACCACCUUUAGCGACGGACCGGGCGAAGGUUUUAGUCCAUCGCAAUAGAACAGAUAAACGGUUUAUAUGUUAUGGCGACGGUUCGAUGCGUCGCUAAAAACUAAGACGACGGUUCUCUGAUAUACGCGAAAAACUGAAUCAUCAUCCGGUCCGUCGCUAAAGGUGAUAAGCAAUGUAUGUUAAAUAAAGGGGUAUGCAUUUGAUCAUCUUCGUAUAUAUAUAUAUAUAUAUAUGGGCCCGAUCAGAAGCAAUACUCCUAAAUAACAUUACUUUCUUAAAGAGCAUUAUAUAGACCUACAUGUUUUUUCCUUUUUCUCCUCACUCAGUCAUAAUAGAACGACUUUCUUUCGCCAGAAAACCCUUUGCCGCAAAAUCGAAGCUGCCAAAAUCGAUUCCCUUGAAAUCGAUAGCUACAAAAUCGAAGAGAGAGAAAGUGAAACCCUUGAUCCCCUCCAGAAACGCGAUUGCUGCAAGAGAGAAAGUCAAACCCUAGAAAUCUCAUGAUACGUAGAGGUGCAUGACUUGAAAAUUCCCUGUUCUUUUUCCUCUUAAAUUUGUUAAAGAAUUAAGUCAGCACAUGUCUGUAACAUAUUUGGACAACACUUGUGCAAUUUGAAUUUCACGAAAGCAGAGUACUUAACGGUUUAAUGCUUUGAUAUGUUGUUAUCUUUUCCUUAUGUGCUUCUCAAGGUUGUUAUCGUCAUUACUUAUUUUUUUAUGUUUUGCUUGGUUUUUUUUUCCUUUUAUACUCUGCACUAGUUUCCUUUCAAGUAAAAAUUUAUGCAUUACAUGUAAAAAUGUAGGAUGUGUAAUACUUCUUUGUGCAUUACAUGUAAAAAUUUAUACUCUGAAAGUGCAUUACAUGUAAAAAAAUUCACAGAAAAAUAUGUGCAUUACAUGUAAAAAUUUAUACUCUGCAUUCAAGUAAAAAUUUAUGUACUACUAGUAGAGACACAAUGUAAACUUGAGCAUGCAUAAGAUUACAUUUGGUCAAUAAGAAUAUUACAGUUGGUCAUAGUUACAGAUUACAGACAGAUAAUGACAUUACAGAUUAUAGACAGAUAAUGACAUUCAAGCCCACCUUCCUUCAGGUGGCACAAUUAAUUUUUUAUCUCUAUUCUAUCUAGCAAGAUCAUAAGUUAAACAACUUUCCUUAGAAAAACUAACCAUCAUGAUAUGUUUUGCGGAGCCUGCAGUUGAUGUGUUGUCUUUUUUCUUCAAUGGUUCUGGAGCUUUUUGUACAACAGCCUCAUUUGGAACCAAUACUAUAGUCAUGUUCCUCUCUCUUAAGCUUUAGCUCUCCUCAACUGCAAGCUGGAAUGUUGUACCAAUAGAAAUGUCAAUCGCACCAUGUACAUAUAUAAACUUUAAAAACAGUGAACUUGGCCAAAAAAACAUCUUAUGGCUGGCUAAAUUUACAUUUCAACACAACAAAUUUUUUAUUUCAUAUCAAGUUAUAUACUUAAUACACAAUAUUACAUGUUUCUUUUACCUACUACAAAAAACACACUAGAUUUCUACAAACUAAGACUCAAAAACAUAGUACUGAACAUGAUAUCAAAAAAAAGAUACAUCUUUUUUCCCUAAACAAUGAUUCUUCCCAUUUUAAGUUGAUGUUUUAUAUUUGUUGAUUAACUUCAAUGUUUGUGUAUGAUUGUAUUAUCUUUUUAAUAGUGGUAAUAUGCUACCUAUUUCUUGAUAUUCUUAUAUAUUGUAACCUUAUAAUGAACAGGUCAUAUACUGCACAAGCUUGAGUUUGAGUGCUGAAGGAAGAACAUUGUUCAGUGGACACAUAGAUGGUGUUGUUAGGGGUUGGGGUAUUGGGUGUCUCUACAAAGCCAGAUCUAGACAAGAAAUUACAGAAUUGACUUCCUUGAUUGCAAUUUUAAAGUCAAUAUUGGUCUAGUUGAAAGGAUAUUGGAUUGUCUAACAAUGUUUGAUUGUAAAUAUUUUGUCCUCUUGAUGUUCUAACUCUGUAGGAUAGUUCUUUUUGCUAACUUAUUUGCACUUUGCCAUAUAUGAUAUAACUUAAGGUGCGGCUUAGUAGUCAUGAAUAUUGCUGAUAAAAAGUAGGUCACAUUUUUCUAAGUGACAGAAUCACUCUUUUACUAUGUCUUGAAAUUAGUUGGAGUUUGAUUGGCAACACUUUGUAUGGUCUCUGUCAAGUAUGUUUAUUGCUAUGUAAUACCAAUUUAAGUUACCAAGAUCAAUUUUGCAUUAUGUUGCUGCUUAUUAGCCAAAUUUGAAGUACUGUGCUAAAAUCAUUAUUAUCUGCAAGUAUUAGUUUUCUUAACCACAGACUGUCAAGCCAUCCUUCUUUUGGGAAGUAGAUACCUUAAUGGUUGUGUUCACUUAGUUCAUCUUGGCUUUCCAGAUGACAAGGAAGCUGAGUUCAGAUGACAAGGAAUCAAAUAAGUUACCAUCAAAACUAAUAAAGGAAAAGUAACCACAAUAUAUCUUCUUAAUGUUUCAAUUGCAACAGAGCUUCAAACAAUCAAUUCAGGCUUGGGUCCAAACUAAGUUCAAAAAAUAGAGUACAACAGAGUUACAUUACAAUCAGUUCAUUACAUUUAAAAUAGGGAUUCACACAUCCUAACAAAAACCAAAAUAUCAACUUGUUUAUUCUACCCUGUUAAAAUCCAUCUUGCAUCUGUCAAGAGGAAAAGAAAAGAGAUUUACCAAGUCUACAAUUCCUUGUAUAUCCAAUACACGGAACAAAUGUAGUAAAAUUGCAGUUUUUCCUCCUUUGUACAACAUGAUUAUGUCCAGAAGAUGCAAGCAUAAUUCAUAAUCAAUUCAACAUAAGAAGAAUCACUACGAGGACUGGUGUUGUUUUUAUCAGUUCCAAUAUCUGUCUUCUUAUCCGGUUGGAUUGAAUCUUUACAAGCAUGCUGUGAAAAGUCUACAGGUUCAGGUACAUGGGGAGGUACAACACUCCUCACUAAAGCCCAGAGUACAACAGAGCUUCAUUACAAUCAAUUCAUUACAUUUCAACCUCCGAGAUCUGCAACACCACGAAAAUCAUAAUUAAACUCCAUAACCGUAUAACCCCACCACUUUUAUCCUAUAACAAAACAAUAUAUAAAAGGAAAAUUAUUUUUGUUCAUACUCUUUUCAACUAAUGUAGCUCGUGUGAUUCACAAAAUUCAUAUCUUUAGGUAUAUAUGACAAAAUGUGAAGAAGAUCUUAAACCCAACAAACUCAAAUCAGUUAGUUAAUGGGCAAUAAAGAAACUAACUGAAAUUCGUAUAGAAACCUGCCAUAAAUAACCACACGAAGAUAAAUUCAUAAUAAAAAAUAAACAAAACUAACAAUAGACCUAAACCACACAUAAUGUCACAGUAAUCCACAUGUCAAAUGAGUGCACAAUCAAGAAUCAACAAAAUUUGUACAACAUGAAAUACCCACAUCACUACUUAAAUGAACAAUCUGAGAAUCAUAAAAAUCAACUACCUUUAUGAAAAAAAAAAACUACCAAAAUUUUUAAAAAGAAAUCAAAAAACACACAAUGGUUUUGAGAAAAAUACCAUCUUGAGUGACAAGUGGGUAAUCAGCAGCAGAAAGAUUGAUGAACCAGUCUCAAUUAGCCGAAAACCGAAGAAGUAUUACACAUCCUACAUUUUACAUGUAAUGCAUAAAUUUUUACUUGAAAGGAAACUAGUGCAGAGUAUAAAAGGAAAAAAAACCAAGAAAAACAUAAAAAAAACUAAGUAAUGCCGAUAACAACCUUGAGCAGCACAUAAGGAAAAGAUAACAGCAUAUCAAAGCAUUAAACCGUUAAGUACUCUGCUUUCGUGAAAUUCAAAUUGCACAAGUGUUGUCCAAAUAUGUUACAGACAUGUGCUGACUUAAUUCUCUAACAAAUUUAAGAGGAAAAAGAACAGGGAAUUUUCAAGUCAUAUGCACCUCUACGUUUGAAAAAUGGGGGCAUAAGACUUUAAUAAAUUAGGUAGAUUAGGGCUAGUUUGGAUUUAGCAUAACAGGUAAAUUAGGUAAAAGAACAGAGGAACAGUUAAGGUGUAAAAUUAAACUGCAAAAGUACCAAAUCGUAAGCCCUUACCGACUCGAACUGAUGAGAUGAAGGAGAUGCGAUUCUAGGGCACGUCGAAAUUUCAAGGCUAUAGGGCUCUCUCUUCUUCUAAAGACUAUAGGGCUCGAUUACUCUGAAGAUUUUGACAUCGAUUGAAGAUUUGGAGAACGUUCUGUGAAGAAUGGAAUCAAAAGAUGGAGAAGAACUCGUUCCCUCAGUCGAAACACACAACCCUUGAACUGAGAUUUCUAGGGCUUGACUUUCUCUCUUGUAGCAAUCGCAUUUCUGGAGGGGAUCAAGGGCUUCGCUUUCUCUCUCUUCGAUUUUGCAGCCAUCGAUUUCAAGGGAAUCGAUUUUUCCAGCUUCGAUUUUGUGGCAAAGGGUUUUCUGGCUAGAGGGAGUCGUUCUAUUAUGAUUGAAUGAGGAGAGAAAGGAAAAAACACGGAGGUUUUAAUUGAAUGUGUAUGUAUAUAUAUAUAUAUAUAUACUUGUAUAUAUGCUCAAAUAUAUCUUAUAGUUAAAUAUAUUUGAUAUAUAUAUAUAUUUUGAAAUAUAAGUUAAGUAUAUGAAGAAUAUAGUUUGAAAAAGAUACGAGUUUUAGAAAAUAUAUAUGUAUAUAAAUAUAUUUUUAUAAAGAGAGAUGAAAGAUUGUAAAGUAAAUUAUCAGAGAAAAAAAUUUAAUCUAGUUUUGAAACUCUAGAUCUAAAAUUUGACAAAUCUGAUAUCGAGAUGAAGACCAUUUAUAGAUCCAGUUUUGAUAUUUUAGAUAUGUAACAAGAGAAACAAAUCUUAAGAGAUAUAAGACAACCAACCAUAUUUUAUAAAGAGAUAACCGAAAAAAGAUUAUCAUGAUUAUUUUUGACAUAUUCAAAGCAAAGAAAUAUUAAGUUUUGUAAAUGAUUUUGAUAGAGCAAAAUUAAUGAUAGAUCAAACAUAUGAGAGAGUUAAUUCUCAGACAAUUUUAAAAAAAAAAUCGAAAAGAAAUUAGGGUUUCAGAGAUUAAAUUUUUUUUGGGAUUUUUGUAAAGGAUUUAUAUCUAAAGAAUAAUAGAGCUAGCUUGAUCCAAAUGAAACUCAAGAACACGAAGGAUCUAUCAUUUGACAUAUCUGAGAUCUAAAUAAAAUGAAAAAAAUUAAAUUUUUUUAAAAAAAUUAGUAAACACGUGAUUUAGACAGCGAAGAAUCAUUUAAUCUGAGUGAAAUUUUUGAAAACGUACGGGAGAUUAAAGAUUUGAGUUGAGAUAGAUUUAGGGUUUGAGAAAGUUUUGGGGAGAAAGAGAAAACGAUCAACUAAGGAUAGGGAAAUAGAAGAAGAAAAA